GAUGAACGCUGGCGGCGUGCCUAACACAUGCAAGUCGAACGGGGUAAUGACUUCGGUUAUUACUUAGUGGCGAACGGGUGAGUAACGCGUGAGAAGCCUGCCUUUCAGUGGGGGACAACAGUUGGAAACGACUGCUAAUACCGCAUAACGUAUUUUAAGGGCAUCCUUUGAAUACCAAAGAUUUAUUGCUGAAAGAUGGUCUCGCGUCUGAUUAGCUAGAUGGCGGGGUAACGGCCCACCAUGGCGACGAUCAGUAGCCGGUCUGAGAGGAUGAGCGGCCACAUUGGGACUGAGAUACGGCCCAGACUCCUACGGGAGGCAGCAGUGGGGAAUAUUGGGCAAUGGGGGAAACCCUGACCCAGCAACGCCGCGUGAAGGAAGAAGGCCUUCGGGUUGUAAACUUCUUUUAGUAGGGACGAAGAACGUGACGGUACCUACAGAAAAAGCAACGGCUAACUACGUG
rnacentral:rRNA from 1 species